rnacentral:rRNA from 1 species
UACAGAGGGUGCAAGCGUUGUUCGGAAUUAUUGGGCGUAAAGCGCGUGUAGGCGGCUUUGCAAGUCGGGUGUGAAAGCCCUCAGCUCAACUGAGGAAGUGCGCCCGAAACUGCAGAGCUUGAGUACCAGAGAGGAUGGCGGAAUUCCCCAAGUAGAGGUGAAAUUCGUAGAUAUGGGGAGGAACACCGGUGGCGAAGGCGGCCAUCUGGAUGGAUACUGACGCUGAGACGCGAAAGCGUGGGUAGCAAACAGG